GACGAACGCUGGCGGCGUGCUUAACACAUGCGAGUCGAACGGAAGGGCCCUGCUUUUGUGGGGUGCUCGAGUGGCGAACGGGUGAGUAACACGUGAGUAACCUGCCAUUGACUUUGGGAUAACUUCAGGAAACUGGGGCUAAUACCGGAUAGGAGCUCCUGCUGCAUGGUGGGGGUUGGAAAGUUUCGGCGGUUGGGGAUGGACUCGCGGCUUAUCAGCUUGUUGGUGGGGUAGUGGCUUACCAAGGCUUUGACGGGUAGCCGGCCUGAGAGGGUGACCGGCCACAUUGGGACUGAGAUACGGCCCAGACUCCUACGGGAGGCAGCAGUGGGGAAUAUUGCACAAUGGGCGGAAGCCUGAUGCAGCAACGCCGCGUGCGGGAUGACGGCCUUCGGGUUGUAAACCGCUUUCGCCUGUGACGAAGCGUGAGUGACGGUAAUGGGUAAAGAAGCACCGGCUAACUACGUG
rnacentral:rRNA from 1 species